rnacentral:rRNA from 1 species
CCUACGGGCGGCUGCAGUGGGGAAUAUUGCACAAUGGGGGAAACCCUGAUGCAGCGACGCCGCGUGAGUGAAGAAGGAAUUCGUUACGUAAAGCUCUAUCAGCAGGGAAGAAACACUGACCGGACGGGCAGCAGACGGUACCUGAGUAAGAAGCCACGGCUAACGACGUGCCAGCAGCCGCGGUAAUACGUAGGGGGCAAGCGUUAUCCGGAUUUACGGGGUGUACAGGGAGCGUAGACGGUGCGCCAAGUCUGGAGUGAAAUGCCGCCGCUUAACUGCGGAACUGCUUUGGAAACUGGCGACCUAGAGUGCGGGACGUGUAAGCGGAAUUCCUAGUGUAGCGGU